GGGUUGUGAGGUUAAGCGACUAAGCGUACACGGUGGAUGCCCUGGCAGUCAGAGGCGAUGAAGGGCGUGCUAAUCUGCGAUAAGCGCCGGUAAGGUGAUAUGAACCGUUAUAACCGGCGAUACCCGAAUGGGGAAACCCAGUGUGACUCGUCACACUAUCAUUAACUGAAUCCAUAGGUUAAUGAGGCGAACCGGGGGAACUGAAACAUCUAAGUACCCCGAGGAAAAGAAAUCAACCGAGAUUCCCCCAGUAGCGGCGAGCGAACGGGGAGGAGCCCAGAGCCUGAAUCAGCAUGUGUGUUAGUGGAAGCGUCUGGAAAGGCGCGCGAUACAGGGUGACAGCCCCGUACACAAAAGCGCAUGUGCUGUGAGCUCGAUGAGUAGGGCGGGACACGUGGUAUCCUGUCUGAAUAUGGGGGGACCAUCCUCCAAGGCUAAAUACUCCUGACUGACCGAUAGUGAACCAGUACCGUGAGGGAAAGGCGAAAAGAACCCCGGCGAGGGGAGUGAAAAAGAACCUGAAACCGUGUACGUACAAGCAGUGGGAGCACCCUUCGGGGUGUGACUGCGUACCUUUUGUAUAAUGGGUCAGCGACUUAUAUUCUGUAGCAAGGUUAACCGUAUAGGGGAGCCGUAGGGAAACCGAGUCUUAAC
rnacentral:rRNA from 2 species